GGAAUUUGUAGAACAUUAAAGUAUUUUCAUGUGAAAACUGUCCAAAAUUUACAAAUGCACGCACUUAAUUAUUUUGUUGCCAUUCUAGUCACUCUGUACAACUGUUAUCUAAUUAUUCAUGCUUUCAACAAAAAGACAAUUGCUCGACACGUCGCCCUAUUCUGAAAGAACCUCACAAGAAAAAAGCACAAAACACUCACCACAUGAGUUGAAAAGCACUUUGCUGAAGAAAUGGAACACCAAGAAAAGAUUUCAAAAUGUGAAAGAACAACUUAGGAGCAGUUGCUGCAUUAUAGUAUAUAAUUGAAACUUAAAUAUAUUUUUAUUCGCACAUGUAUUAAAUAAUACAUAUGUACAUACAUAUUUACAAAUAAAAU